CCAAUAAACUAAUAAUUUUUAUAACAGUGGAGUUCAGGGCUUGCAACAAGGGUUCAGAACAACAGGGUUAAUCAGUUAUUUGUGUGUAUGUGGGCGCAUCCCGUGUCACAUGUGGGAGUGAUAAUUGAGUAUCUCCCAAUUCAGAGAUUAUUUUGCUCUCUAGGUGUGUUGGUUGUGACACCUACACAAAAUGAGUAAGAUUAGUAGUAUCCCAUACAGAUUGGAAUUACAGACUUUUGACUCAGAACAUCCUGGUUGGAGUGAAGGCUCCGAGAAUUAUCAGUUUUGUGAUCAUUGGCAAAUUAUUUAUUCUCUCCCAGGCAAGGUUUCCUCAUUUUGAUAAUGGACAUACUAUUGUAACUAACCUUGUUGGGUUGCUGUGAGAAUGAUGUAAUUAUGGAUGCACGUAUAGAGAUAUCAUGGUGGUAUUAAAACACAUCUACAAAUUCUCUAACACAGUUCCCAUGAAGACAUGGAGUGGACAUCCCUUCCCUUCACAAUUUGCCCUGACCUUUUGACUGCCUGGGUGAACAGAAUGUGUCAAAGUGACACUGCAUGGCUUUUGAGUCUAGGAUCUAAAAGCCCACCCAGCUUAUGCUUAUUUCUCGUGGAAACACACUUUGAGAAUCUUCAGCUGGCAAGUACCAUUUGAGUAAAGAAACCCUGAAGAAGAUUCCAGCCCUAGCCAUUGUCUGCCUGCAACUGUAGGACCAGACAAUCAGAACAGAGCUUAACACCUAAGCUAGGGAGCAGAUGCUGGAAUGCCAUGACCUGCAAAAUGACUGUGCCCUACCACGCCUGCCAGCUGCCUCCCCAGAUGACACAUUCACCCGCUCUCGAACUGCAAGUGCUGGCACAUAACUGCCUCAGAUCUGGACAAAUGUACGUGUGGGAUGUAAGACAGGUUUUUUCUAAGGUCCCUUCUCUUACAGAAUUAGAAUCAAUUUCUUCCUUCACUAGUAAUUUAUUUCAAUAGCUAGGGUCUGAACUUCAAGCAUAGCAUCUCUACUUAUAACAACUUAGAUUUUGGGUAGCUGACUUGACUUUGAAUGAAUUUGCACCUGCAAAUACUGAUUUUUCUCUUUCUUUGGUAGGUAAAUUACCUUAAAAGUAAAAGACUAUGACAUUCAGAGGUCUACUCUAUUCCCUAUUCAUCUUGAACCAAGCUUGAACUAACAAAAGCACAUAUGAUUAAUGUCAUCAAAGAAAGAACUAAAAUAUAAAUAGACCCUUUUAUUUUGCUUCAUUGCAAUAGUGUCAGACAUCUAACUCCAUGACUAGUUCUGAAAUGCACCACUUUUGAAGAUGCUAGGUUUGCAAUCUUUUUUCUUACCAAUUGAGUGAAUUUGUAGGUUUUACCUAUGGAUGAAUGUAUAGUAGUAUAAAUAAACUGGAUAUUUGCAAAUGUUUAUUGUAGUCUGAAGGCAAAAAUAAUUAUCCAUUUCGGCAAGUUGGAACCGUAACCAUCACCUGAAAUGUUCAAAACCUGUAAAGAUCAGUAUUAUCAAUAUCUGUCAUCUCAUAAGAAUGCCUUAGUGUUUAAGCUAAUUCAAUUAUAGUUUGCAUAUUUCUAGAAUGAAACACCAUCUUUUAUGAUAUAAUGUGCUAAGGAUAUAAUAAUUGUAUGAUCUUUGGCCUCCAAGAGUAUGAAUCUGACUGAAGCAAUAUUCAAAUAAAUUAGUCAUUCAAUCACUAAUUCAUUUAUUUAACAAACUCAUGUAGAGAACUUGAGGGCUAGGAAUUGUUUUAGACAUUGAGAUUGCAACCAUAAACUUGAGAGACAAGGUCUCUGUUUUGGUGAGAGGAAGUACACAAAUAAACAAGAUAAUUUUAGAUAGCCAAGAGAGCAAUGAAGAAAAUAAAACAGGGUGAAUUAAUGCAGAAUGAGUAGGGAGGAUUA
rnacentral:lncRNA from 1 species